GGGGGGGGGGGGGGGGGGGGGGGGGGGGGGGGGGGCGGGGGGGGGGGCCCUGGUGUGGUGGGGUGCUCGAGUGGGGGACGGGUGGGGGCCACGUGGGUGCCCUGCCCUGGGCUUUUGGCUGACGUCAGGCCACUGGGGCGCAUCCCGGGUAGGGUCUCCUCCUGCAUUGUGGUGGUUGGCAAGUUUCGGCGGUUGGGGAUGGACUCGCGGCUUAUCAGCUUGUUGGUGGGGUAGUGGCUUACCAAGGCUUUGACGGGUAGCCGGCCUGAGAGGGUGACCGGCCACAUUGGGACUGAGAUACGGCCCAGACUCCUACGGGAGGCAGCAGUGGGGAAUAUUGCACAAUGGGCGGAAGCCUGAUGCAGCAACGCCGCGUGCGGGAUGACGGCCUUCGGGUUGUAAACCGCUUUCGCCUGUGACGAAGCGUGAGUGACGGUAAUGGGUAAAGAAGCACCGGCUAACUACGUG
rnacentral:rRNA from 1 species